AGGUCUUCUCGGCCUUUUGGCUAAGAUCAAGUGUAUUAUUAUUAUUAUUAUUAUUAUUAUUAUUUACAAGAAUGUUGUUUACUGCAGGAAAAUGACACGGAGCAAUGGGUUUAAACUGCAGGAAAGAAGAUUCCAGCCAAACAAAUCAAUUGCAUAUGACUGUUGCAAAGAGUGUCUGCAAGCUGUAGUAUUU